UACGAGAGGCCCAAACGUUAUUCGGAUUUACUGGGCUUAAAGAGUUCGUAGGCGGCGCGGAAAGUAGGGUGUGAAAGCCCUCGGCUCAACCGAGGAAUUGCGCCCUAAACUGUCGCGCUCGAGGAACCUAGAGGUGAGCGAGAACUGAUGGUGGAGCGGUGAAAUGCGUUGAUAUCAUCAGGAAUACCGGAGGCGAAGGCGGCUCACUGGGGGUUAUCUGACGCUGAGGAACGAAAGCCAGGGGAGCAAACGGG
rnacentral:rRNA from 1 species